CCUUACAUGUAAAUCAACUCGGGAAUCUGUUUGAAUACGAUGGGAUGGCACUUGGCGUUUGACUCCUUGGCCUCCCUUUGGUUGGCAGGGGCAGCCAUGUUGUGUGCUCCCCUCCCAACCAAAACCAAACCCCGGCACUCAAUGUGCCAAGGAACAAAAAUUGGUUCAGUGCACCCAUGUUGGCACCGGAGACGGUGCUAAUGUGGAGGUGUUUUGAUGCAUGGUAUAUACAAAUGACUCUCGGCAACGGAUAUCUAGGCUCUUGCAUCGAUGAAGAACGUAGCGAAAUGCGAUACUUGGUGUGAAUUGCAGAAUCCCGUGAACCAUCGAGUUUUUGAACGCAAGUUGCGCCCGAAGCCAUUAGGUUGAGGGCACGUCUGCUUGGGCGUCACAUAUCGUUGCCCAAUGCCUAUUGAUAGGCUUUGUAGGGCGAAUGAUGGCUUCCCGUGAGCACUGUUCUCUCAUGGUUGGCUGAAAAUGAGUCAUUGGUAGGGUGCGUGCCAUGAUAAAUGGUGGUUGUGUGACCCACGAGACCGAUCAUGUGCAGCUCUUACCAAGUUUGGCCUUUAUGACCCACUAGCGUCCUUGGAUGCUCAUGAUGAGAAAACGGGCAGGUGA
rnacentral:rRNA from 1 species